GCCCGGUUAGCUCAGCCGGUAGAGCGUUGGACUUUUAAUCCAAAGGCCAAGGUUUCAAGUCCCUUAUCGGGGC
rnacentral:tRNA from 1 species